rnacentral:rRNA from 1 species
AUUGAACGCUGGCGGCAUGCCUUACACAUGCAAGUCGAACGGUAACGGGCCUUCGGGUGCCGACGAGUGGCGAACGGGUGAGUAAUGUAUCGGAACGUACCUUUCAGUGGGGGAUAACGUAGCGAAAGUUACGCUAAUACCGCAUAUUCUGUGAGUAGGAAAGCAGGGGAUCGCAAGACCUUGCGCUGAUUGAGCGGCCGAUAUCAGAUUAGCUAGUUGGUGAGGUAAAGGCUCACCAAGGCGACGAUCUGUAGCGGGUCUGAGAGGAUGAUCCGCCACACUGGAACUGAGACACGGUCCAGACUCCUACGGGAGGCAGCAGUGGGGAAUUUUGGACAAUGGGGGCAACCCUGAUCCAGCCAUGCCGCGUGAGUGAAGAAGGCCUUCGGGUUGUAAAGCUCUUUCGGCCGGGAAGAAAUCGUAUCAGCUAAUACCUGGUGCGGAUGACGGUACCGGCAUAAGAAGCACUGGCUAACUACGUGCCAGCAGCCGCGGUAACAC